UACAGAGGGUGCGAGCGUUAAUCGGAAUUACUGGGCGUAAAGGGCGCGUAGGCGGUUAGAUAAGUUUGAUGUGAAAUCCCUGGGCUUAACCUAGGAACUGCAUCAGAUACUGUUUGACUGGAGUGCGGUAGAGGGUAGUGGAAUUUCCGGUGUAGCGGUGAAAUGCGUAGAUAUCGGAAGGAACACCAGGUGGCGAAGGCGGCUACCUGGACUGACACUGACG
rnacentral:rRNA from 1 species